UGCCCUAGCAGCGGGAACAGUACUGCAGUAAGCGAUCAGGGCUCUGGAGUAAUGUUUCUGCCGCUUGAGCA
rnacentral:pre_miRNA from 1 species